rnacentral:tRNA from 11 species
UGUGUGACCGAGUGGUCUAAGGUGGUAGACUCAAGAUCUACUGGAUUUUUCCUCAUGGGUUCGAAUCAC